UACGAAGGGGGCUAGCGUUGCUCGGAAUCACUGGGCGUAAAGGGUGCGUAGGCGGGUCUUUAAGUCAGGGGUGAAAUCCUGGAGCUCAACUCCAGAACUGCCUUUGAUACUGAGGAUCUUGAGUACGGGAGAGGUGAGUGGAACUGCGAGUGUAGAGGUGAAAUUCGUAGAUAUUCGCAAGAACACCAGUGGCGAAGGCGGCUCACUGGCCCGUAACUGACGCUGAGGCAUGAAAGCGCGGGGAGCAACA
rnacentral:rRNA from 1 species